CCUACGGGGGGCAGCAGUGGGGAAUAUUGGACAAUGGGCGAAAGCCUGAUCCAGCAAUGCCGCGUGUGUGAAGAAGGCCUGCGGGUUGUAAAGCACUUUUGUUCGGGAAGAAAACGUGCCGGUCAAUACCCGGUAUGAAUGACGGUACCGAAAGAAUAAGCACCGGCUAACUUCGUGCCAGCAGCCGCGGUAAUACGAAGGGUGCAAGCGUUAAUCGGAAUUACUGGGCGUAAAGGGUGCGUAGGCGGCUUUUUAAGUCGGAUGUGAAAUCCCCGGGCUCAACCUGGGAAUGGCAUUCGAUACUGGGGAGCUAGAGUUUGGGAGAGGGUGGUGGAAUUCCCGGUGUAGCGGUGAAAUGCGUAGAGAUCGGGAGGAACAUCAGUGGCGAAGGCGGCCACCUGGCCUAAAACUGACGCUGAAGCACGAAAGCGUGGGGAGCAAACAGGAUUAGAUACCCCUGUAGUC
rnacentral:rRNA from 1 species